GCUCAGGAUGAACGCUGGCGGUCUGCUUAACACAUGCAAGUCGAACGCAACCUUCGGGUUGAGUGGCGGACGGGUGAGUAACGCGUGAGAAUCUGCCUUGGGGUCGGGGACAACCACUGGAAACGGUGGCUAAUACCGGAUAAGCCUUUGGGUAAAAAAUUUAUUGCCCCAAGAGGAGCUCGCGUCUGAUUAGCUAGUUGGUGAGGUAAAAGCUCACCAAGGCAGCGAUCAGUAGCUGGUCUGAGAGGACGAUCAGCCACACUGGGACUGAGACACGGCCCAGACUCCUACGGGAGGCAGCAGUGGGGAAUUUUCCGCAAUGGGCGAAAGCCUGACGGAGCAAGACCGCGUGAGGGAGGAAGGCUCUUGGGUUGUAAACCUCUUUUCUCGGGGAAGAAGCUCUGACGGUACCUGAGGAAUCAGCCUCGGCUAACUCCGUGCCAGCAGCCGCGGUAAUACGGAGGAGGCAAGCGUUAUCCGGAAUUAUUGGGCGUAAAGCGUCCGCAGGUGGCGAUUCAAGUCUGCUGUCAAAGCACGGGGCUUAACUCCGUUAAGGCAGUGGAAACUGAAUAGCUAGAGUGCCGUAGGGGUAGAGGGAAUUCCCGGUGUAGCGGUGAAAUGCGUAGAGAUCGGGAAGAACAUCGGUGGCGAAAGCGCUCUACUGGACGGCAACUGACACUCAGGGACGAAAGCUACGGGAGCGAAUGGGAUUAGAUACCCCAGUAGUCCUAGCUGUACACGAUGGAUUCUACGUGUAGCUUGUAUCGACCCGAGCUGUGCCGAAGCUAACGCGUUAAGUAUCCCGCCUGGGGAGUGCGCA
rnacentral:rRNA from 1 species